rnacentral:rRNA from 1 species
GAUGAACGCUGGCGGCGUGCCUAACACAUGCAAGUCGAGCGAUUCUCUUCGGAGAAGAGCGSCGGACGGGUGAGUAACGCGUGGGUAACCYGCCUCAUACACAUGGAUAACAUACCGAAAGGUAUGYUAAUACAGGAUAACAUAAGAGAUUCGCAUGUUUCUCUUAUCAAAGCUCCGGCGGUAUGAGAUGGACCCGCGUCUGAUUAGCUAGUUGGUAAGGUAAUGGCUUACCAAGGCAACGAUCAGUAGCCGACCUGAGAGGGUGAUCGGCCACAUUGGAACUGAGACACGGUCCAAACUCCUACGGGAGGCAGCAGUGGGGAAUAUUGCACAAUGGGCGMAAGCCUGAUGCAGCAACGCCGCGUGAGUGAUGAAGGCCUUCGGGUCGUAAAACUCUGUCCUCAAGGAAGAUAAUGACGGUACUKRAGGAGAARMC